CUGGGCCUGGACCCAGCAGCCCUCUGGGAAGGCGCUGGGGCACCUCAGCUCCAGGGGCAGCACACACUUCAGCCCAGCCUUUCUGGGCCAACUCUCCAUCUGUAGAGACACAUCCAAGGCCCAGUUAUCCCUGCAGCUGAGCUCCGUGAUGGCCAAGGGCAGGGCCGCACAUUCCCGUGGGAGACAGAAUGGGGACCUCAGCGUGAGCCCAGACACAAACCUCCCUGCAGGGAAGCACAAGACCACCAGGCGGCGCUCCAGACCACACAGCGGCCCCAGAAGCAGGUUUUAGGGGGCGGGGCAGACGUGUCCGCGUUGAGUCAGGUCAUUGGUUUUACUUUCCCUGAGCAAACGGCCUCUGCCAAGGACUCACUGCACCUCUCACCUUCACAGUUGUUUUUUUUUUUUUUUUUUAAUCACCCUGUAGAGUUUUGCUAGCUAAUUUAGAUAUUGA